rnacentral:rRNA from 1 species
UGUGUGUUAGUGGAAGCGUCUGGAAAGGCGCGCGAUACAGGGUGACAGCCCCGUACACAAAAAUGCACAUGCUGUGAGCUCGAUGAGUAGGGCGGGACACGUGGUAUCCUGUCUGAAUAUGGGGGGACCAUCCUCCAAGGCUAAAUACUCCUGACUGACCGAUAGUGAACCAGUACCGUGAGGGAAAGGCGAAAAGAACCCCGGCGAGGGGAGUGAAAAAGAACCUGAAACCGUGUACGUACAAGCAGUGGGAGCACAGAGCAAUCUGUGUGACUGCGUACCUUUUGUAUAAUGGGUCAGCGACUUAUAUUCUGUAGCAAGGUUAACCGAAUAGGGGAGCCGAAGGGAAACCGAGUCUUAACCGGGCGUUAAGUUGCAGGGUAUAGACCCGAAACCCGGUGAUCUAGCCAUGGGCAGGUUGAAGGUUGGGUAACACUAACUGGAGGACCGAACCGACUAAUGUUGAAAAAUUAGCGGAUGACUUGUGGCUGGGGGUGAAAGGCCAAUCAAACCGGGAGAUAGCUGGUUCUCCCCGAAAGCUAUUUAGGUAGCGCCUCGUGAAUUCAUCUCCGGGGGUAGAGCACUGUUUCGGCAAGGGGGUCAUCCCGACUUACCAACCCGAUGCAAACUGCGAAUACCGGAGAAUGUUAUCACGGGAGACACACGGCGGGUGCUAACGUCCGUCGUGAAGAGGGAAACAACCCAGACCGCCAGCUAAGGUCCCAAAGUCAUGGUUAAGUGGGAAACGAUGUGGGAAGGCCCAGACAGCCAGGAUGUUGGCUUAGAAGCAGCCAUCAUUUAAAGAAAGCGUAAUAGCUCACUGGUCGAGUCGGCCUGCGCGGAAGAUGUAACGGGGCUAAACCAUGCACCGAAGCUGCGGCAGCGACACUGUGUGUUGUUGGGUAGGGGAGCGUUCUGUAAGCCUGUGAAGGUGUGCUGUGAGGCAUGCUGGAGGUAUCAGAAGUGCGAAUGCUGACAUAAGUAACGAUAAAGCGGGUGAAAAGCCCGCUCGCCGGAAGACCAAGGGUUCCUGUCCAACGUUAAUCGGGGCAGGGUGAGUCGACCCCUAAGGCGAGGCCGAAAGGCGUAGUCGAUGGGAAACAGGUUAAUAUUCCUGUACUUGGUGUUACUGCGAAGGGGGGACGGAGAAGGCUAUGUUGGCCGGGCGACGGUUGUCCCGGUUUAAGCGUGUAGGCUGGUUUUCCAGGCAAAUCCGGAAAAUCAAGGCUGAGGCGUGAUGACGAGGCACUACGGUGCUGAAGCAACAAAUGCCCUGCUUCCAGGAAAAGCCUCUAAGCAUCAGGUAACAUCAAAUCGUACCCCAAACCGACACAGGUGGUCAGGUAGAGAAUACCAAGGCGCUUGAGAGAACUCGGGUGAAGGAACUAGGCAAAAUGGUGCCGUAACUUCGGGAGAAGGCACGCUGAUAUGUAGGUGAAGUCCCUCGCGGAUGGAGCUGAAAUCAGUCGAAGAUACCAGCUGGCUGCAACUGUUUAUUAAAAACACAGCACUGUGCAAACACGAAAGUGGACGUAUACGGUGUGACGCCUGCCCGGUGCCGGAAGGUUAAUUGAUGGGGUCAGCGCAAGCGAAGCUCUUGAUCGAAGCCCCGGUAAACGGCGGCCGUAACUAUAACGGUCCUAAGGUAGCGAAAUUCCUUGUCGGGUAAGUUCCGACCUGCACGAAUGGCGUAAUGAUGGCCAGGCUGUCUCCACCCGAGACUCAGUGAAAUUGAACUCGCUGUGAAGAUGCAGUGUACCCGCGGCAAGACGGAAAGACCCCGUGAACCUUUACUAUAGCUUGACACUGAACAUUGAGCCUUGAUGUGUAGGAUAGGUGGGAGGCUUUGAAGUGUGGACGCCAGUCUGCAUGGAGCCGACCUUGAAAUACCACCCUUUAAUGUUUGAUGUUCUAACGUGGACCCGUGAUCCGGGUUGCGGACAGUGUCUGGUGGGUAGUUUGACUGGGGCGGUCUCCUCCUAAAGAGUAACGGAGGAGCACGAAGGUUGGCUAAUCCUGGUCGGACAUCAGGAGGUUAGUGCAAUGGCAUAAGCCAGCUUGACUGCGAGCGUGACGGCGCGAGCAGGUGCGAAAGCAGGUCAUAGUGAUCCGGUGGUUCUGAAUGGAAGGGCCAUCGCUCAACGGAUAAAAGGUACUCCGGGGAUAACAGGCUGAUACCGCCCAAGAGUUCAUAUCGACGGCGGUGUUUGGCACCUCGAUGUCGGCUCAUCACAUCCUGGGGCUGAAGUAGGUCCCAAGGGUAUGGCUGUUCGCCAUUUAAAGUGGUACGCGAGCUGGGUUUAGAACGUCGUGAGACAGUUCGGUCCCUAUCUGCCGUGGGCGCUGGAGAACUGAGGGGGGCUGCUCCUAGUACGAGAGGACCGGAGUGGACGCAUCACUGGUGUUCGGGUUGUCAUGCCAAUGGCACUGCCCGGUAGCUAAAUGCGGAAGAGAUAAGUGCUGAAAGCAUCUAAGCACGAAACUUGCCCCGAGAUGAGUUCUCCCUGACCCUUUAAGGGUCCUGAAGGAACGUUGAAGACGACGACGUUGAUAGGCCGGGUGUGUAAGCGCAGCGAUGCGUUGAGCUAACCGGUACUAAUGAACCGUGAGGCUUAACCUUACAACGCCGAAGGUGUUU